UGGUCGUAUGUAUGACGUCAUUUACUGGAUUUUUUAGGAGUGACAUCAUAUGUACGGCUGCU
rnacentral:pre_miRNA from 1 species